UUAAAUUUGAAAGAAAGAGUAGAAAAUUGAAAGUUUAAGAGAGUUAGUGGUUGGUGUGAACUAAUACGGAAAAUUUUUGAAAAUCAUCUUUUACAAAGGAUUCGUGAAAUGAGUAAGGAAUCCCGCAGUGGUUUGCGUUACAAAAACCCGACAUUGUUAGAUGUUUGAGUGUUUCAUUUUUUGAAAAAUUAAGGUGGUACCGCGGAAGUUAUUUCGUCCUUUGU
rnacentral:ncRNA from 1 species